UUUGUAGCUAGGAUCUCCAUUUUCAUUUCCCCAGAUGGAGAGAGCCUAUUGAUUUCUGAAGGAUCUUCCCUGGGUAGAAGGAAUGAGAAUCCCUAGGUUGCUGGAGUGAUAAAGGGGAGUCAUUAAUUGUGAUUCUGUUGAAUGAAUUCCUGCCUUUGAGCUCCUUGAGGGUGGGGACUUCCUCUGGGGGCCUUCUGAACUUGUGACAGCACCUGCUGCGGGGGCUGGGUACACUGGACUGAUGGCAGACGUGCCCUAGGAAGGAGCCAGGCCUUGGUGGGUGUGCUGCGUUCCCACGGGGCCUGGCACAGAGGAAGCCUGAGAAAAGCACGCAGGUGGAGUGAGGGAAAACUGGCCUGUGGUGCUAACAAAACCCUGUCCUUAACACUUGACUCAGGUCGUACUUGACAGAUGGCAAUGGGACCGUGUAGAAAUGACCAUGAGUCACCUGCUGAGGGAAAGCUACCUGGGACAGAUUCCCCAGAAUAAGUACCAAGCAUUGGCUCCAGUUGCACUUUAAAAGCAGAAACAAAGUAACAAAGAUGAAAAUUCAAAAAGAAAAGAAGCAAUAUGACUAAAGUGAUGUCUUUCCUCAGUCAGAACUCGGAUAUCAGAAGAUUUAGUCUAUUCCUUUUAUACCAGAGGCAUAUUGUUAAAUUGGUUAAUGGAAAGGAAAAAUGUUUAACAGAUAAUGUUAUUCUUUAUGUGAAGUACCAUCUGUGUAUUGCAUUCUGAAUGUUCUGGAUAUGGAAGAGAGGAAGUGUUAUGGAAUUUCAAGUUUGCCUUCUUGCUGUCUUUAUCUUGGGUAGAGUAUGACAAACAUAAUCACAUUUAUCUCCUGGAGCAUAAAGAGUUUUAAUCACCCUAUUAACCAGGAUGACAUUUUUCACAGACUUAAAAAGGAAUAGAACAGACAUUAUCUCCCCAUAAGCAAUCCAUUUCAUGGAGGCUGAGCACUAGAAAUGCUUUGAAGGAGGGAUAACACAAGCCAUUUUCAUUUCCUGUCUCAGCCAACAUUAAGGAGGUUUUUGGCUUCCACUGGGUGAGUGUUAAGCUUUACACUUAGAAUCACAGUGCCCAAAGGGCUGCAAGAGGAAGUCAUAGGAGAAAGCAUGGCGGGCAGAGGUGACUUUCAACACUCUAUUCUUUCAAGAGAAAUGUGCAUCCUGGUAAGUUAUGUGUCCUCUCCACUGGCUGGUUUUUUGGUUUUUUGUUUUUGUUUUUUUUUUUUUUUUGGAGCCAAGAAAAUGUGAUUUUUGAACAACCUGAGAAUGGAAAAUAAGGACUGGGAACUAUCUCAGCAGCCUGCCACUAGAAGAAAGAAGGAUGGAUUCCAGUGAUAGGGACAGUAAGCAGAUGUCCUACAGCAAAGCCAAGAUGGGGCAGUAGGUGACCCUCCUCCAUCCUCAUUCCAACUCAGACAUCGACUGACAGUGGAAAGAAACCUGCCGUGCUCUCAUCUGAGCUACUGGGGAGGCUGAAGCAGGAGGUUCCCAAAUGCCAGGCCAAUCUGGCAACCCGAUAAGACCCUGUCUUGAAAUAAAAAGGGCUGUAGCUCAGAGAUCACCCCUGGGUUCAAUCCCCAGUACAACUAAUCAUCUCAAUCAUCUCACCUGCCAUACUUUAGUUCCAUGGAUGGUAUGGGGCUGAGCUUGCAAAUUAAUCAUUGCAACCUAAGGGAAAGACCGAAGAAAUCAGCGUCAGGGGGAGGGCCCAUUGGGACAAGAGUAAUUAAAAUCCACCGAAUUUAGCUAUUUCACUUCAGGCAAUAUUUAAUCUUCCAUAGGUCUGGUUUAUGGAGAAUGUUGUUUAUUUUCAUCUCAUUUCACGUAUCUUCUUUAAAACAAAUAGUUAAGUAUAGGAAAAGUACAAAAGUUUUCCUCAAAUAGUUGAAUUUCCUGUCACAGUAAGAUGCAUAUUUUAUAGCUUUUUUUGAUGUUUAGAAUUUUUCAUGUAGGUGUUUUUAUUUUCUGCCAAGAGUCACUGAAUGAUAGAGCAAGUACUGGGGCCUCUCUUGGUGUUAUCAGGAUUCAUUGUCAAAGGCUGUGAUUUCAUGAGCACAGAGAGAAGGAAAGCAAGCAUCUUGUUAGCAAAUUUUGUCUGACGACAGAUAACUCAGUUCUGGAGAAAAUUAGAAUCACAGUUAUCAUGGGGCUGGGGAUGUGGCUCAAGCGGUAGCGCGCUCGCCUGGCAUGCGUGCGGCCCGGGUUCGAUCCUCAGCACCACAUACAAAGAUGUUAUGUCCGCCAAUAACUAAAAAAUAAACAUUAAAAAUUCUCUCUCUCUCUCUCUCUCUCCCUCCUCUGUCUUUAAAAAAAAAAAAAAAGAAUCACAGUUAUCAGGAAGUAGAUACAGUUUCAGUAUUAGUGGAGUGAUUUAGGACCUUAAUUUACAUUUCUUACAUAAGCUGGAUCAGAUCCUUUGCCUCAUUACCAUUUGAUGAGGCAUGAACACUUACUUUAAAAAAUGGAACAAUAGUAAAAUAAUAACAGGCAAGUGAGUGUGUAAAUGUACUUAAAGACAUAAAGUCUAUCGUCACUGGACUCUCCUGAGAAGCUCCCUCAGGCAGAGUGGGAAAACUUGGUAUAUUCAUAACACCUAUUACCUGCUCAUCUGAAAACAAUUAAAAAGUCAGUCUUCCCCUGAUAUCCCAGGCUCAGGGUGGUUUUCCAGGUUUAGCCUGACAGGUGACACUCUGUGGGACACAUUUGGGAGGAUGUCUGAAACAUGAGGCUCUGGGCUGUACUCUCAGCAUGCAUGCCCUGCUUGAAAAGAACAAGUUGACCAAACAGUUGGUAAAAGAAAGCUCCAUUCGAUAGUCCUUCUGGAAUCGUGCCCCACCUUGUAGAGGCAGGUGAUGGGAAUGGGUUUAUUUUGUUGCUACUGGUUUUCUUCUCCAGCUGUCCCUGUGGUAGGGGUCGAGUUUCUCCACUUUUUGCCCCAAGCAGAGCCCAGAUGGUGGACAGCCAGGGGAGGGUGACCAACGGGUCCAUCAGGGCAGCCACCACCUGUACCCUUUCAUUUUUCUUCAUACAUGGUGGCCACAGCUGCUCAGGGACCUUCCUGCAAUUGAGAC
rnacentral:lncRNA from 1 species